rnacentral:rRNA from 1 species
AGAGUUUGAUCCUGGCUCAGAACGAACGCUGGCGGCAUGCCUAACACAUGCAAGUCGAACGAAGCCUUCGGGCUUAGUGGCGCACGGGUGCGUAACGCGUGGGAAUCUGCCCUUGGGUUCGGAAUAACAGUUAGAAAUGACUGCUAAUACCGGAUGAUGUCUUCGGACCAAAGAUUUAUCGCCCAAGGAUGAGCCCGCGUAGGAUUAGGUAGUUGGUGGGGUAAUGGCCCACCAAGCCGACGAUCCUUAGCUGGUCUGAGAGGAUGAUCAGCCACACUGGGACUGAGACACGGCCCAGACUCCUACGGGAGGCAGCAGUGGGGAAUAUUGGACAAUGGGCGAAAGCCUGAUCCAGCAAUGCCGCGUGAGUGAUGAAGGCCUUAGGGUUGUAAAGCUCUUUUACCAGGGAUGAUAAUGACAGUACCUGGAGAAUAAGCUCCGGCUAACUCCGUGCCAGCAGCCGCGGUAAUACGGAGGGAGCUAGCGUUGUUCGGAAUUACUGGGCGUAAAGCGCACGUAGGCGGCUAUUCAAGUCGGGGGUGAAAGCCCGGGGC